GACGAACGCUGGCGGCGUGCUUAACACAUGCAAGUCGAACGGAAAGGCCCUGCUUUUGUGGGGUGCUCGAGUGGCGAACGGGUGAGUAACACGUGAGUAACCUGCCCUUGACUUUGGGAUAACUUCAGGAAACUGGGGCUAAUACCGGAUAGGAGCUCCUGCUGCAUGGUGGGGGUUGGAAAGUUUCGGCGGUUGGGGAUGGACUCGCGGCUUAUCAGCUUGUUGGUGGGGUAGUGGCUUACCAAGGCUUUGACGGGUAGCCGGCCUGAGAGGGUGACCGGCCACAUUGGGACUGAGAUACGGCCCAGACUCCUCCGGGAGGCAGCAGUGGGGAAUAUUGCACAAUGGGCGGAAGCCUGAUGCAGCCACGCCGCGUGCGGGAUGACGGCCUUCGGGUUGUAAACCGCUUUCGCCUGUGACGAAGCGUGAGUGACGGUAAUGGGUAAAGAAGCACCGGCUAACUACGUG
rnacentral:rRNA from 1 species